CCUUAGCUCACAAUGAGUGGAGAAUCAACAAAAGCCAAUGAAGGGCAUUGGGUAAAAAUCAUGACCCUCUCUCUCUGUUAUUCUUCGACAUGAGAAUAUAUAAUAUCUAGAGUUAAUGCUACAGCUGCCUGGUAGCCAUCAGAUGUGAGGUAUUUGAGGAAGAAGCUCAACAGGGGGGAGGGAGAUUUAUGAGUAGAGAAAGCAUAAAAAUAAAAUUUGUCCUGGUGAUGCCAUCUGAGCCCCAUAUCAAGGCUUGCUUAAGCCUGCCUUGCCCCAGGAAACCCCAGUGGGAGAACGGAGGUGGCGAGCCAGGCAGCGGAGGGAAGAAUAGAAAGAGCAGAUAAGAAAUAGAGGGGCUCCUCAAGAGACAGAGAACUAAAAAUCCCGCAGAAGCAGCCAAAUCUCCUUCGUCCUGGAUCCUUCAGGAGGAACAACCAUCUACCUUUCUUUUAGGUCAAGUCCAAAUAACAGAGAUCCUGAGAAACAAGUUGCCAGUGAAGGCUGGUGGAUGUUGGAUCCCCUGGAACUGGAGUUAAGCCUCCAUUCCAUUUAUCCCAUUCCACGUCUGCUGUUUUGAGUCAUGCAAAUGUAACUAAGCCUUCCAUGAGACCUGCCACCCCAAAGUUUGCAUUCUUCGGCUGAUGCUCAGGAGGAGGAGGAAGUGGAUUCCCAAGACAAAAGGGACAAGUUGGACUAGCACGACAGUGUUCAAGGCGAUCAUGGCCAUGAUGGUAUACUCGAAGGAUGGAGAAACCACGAAGUGCCACACGCGGUACUGGAAGGUUAAACAACAACAAAGUCAACCUUAUAAAACCCUACAAUGUUCCAAACCUAUGCAUGUGUUAGAGGAACAUUUAAGAAAACAUAACCCCGGGCAUUAGAAACACAGAUGCCAUGAGAAUCAGGGAGGCUACACUCCUCCAUCAUCUUAUCCCCUUGCUCCUGGAAGGUGAUGAUGAUGAGAGCCACAAAGAUAUUGACGAAGAAGAAAGGGAACACCACAAAGUAGACCACAUAAAAGAUGGACAUCUCCAUGCGGUUGCUGCGGCUUGGGCCUCUGUCCUCCUCUGUCACAUCUACAGAAUGCUGCAGGACCCUAUGAGGAUCAAAAGAGAGGGUACAGAGGGUUGGUGACAGCCUCAGCUUUGUCGGAAAUGUGCCACCUUUUGUUGUUGUUGAUAUGUCUUCUCUGACUUUUUCUAUUCCUCCACUGAUUUGGGGUGACCAUAACCAAAUAGGCAAAGAAAAAGUCCCACUGU